rnacentral:rRNA from 1 species
CGAACGGGUGAGUAACACGUGGGUGACCUGCCCUUAGCUCUGGGAUAAGCCUGGGAAACUGGGUCUAAUACCGGAUAUGACUCCAUGACGCAUGUUGUGGGGUGGAAAGCCUUGUGCGGCUAGGGAUGGGCCCGCGGCCUAUCAGCUUGUUGGUGGGGUGAUGGCCUACCAAGGCGACGACGGGUAGCCGGCCUGAGAGGGCGACCGGCCACACUGGGACUGAGAUACGGCCCAG